AUUGAACGCUGGCGGCAGGCUUAACACAUGCAAGUCGAGCGGUAGCACAAGAGAGCUUGCUCUCUGGGUGACGAGCGGCGGACGGGUGAGUCAUGUCUGGGAAACUGCCUGAUGGAGGGGGAUAACUACUGGAAACGGUAGCUACUACCGCAUAACGUCGCCAGACCAAAGAGGGGGACCUUCGGGCCUCUUGCCAUCAGAUGUGCCCAGCUGGGAGUAGGUAGUAGGUGGGGUAGUGGCUCACCUAGGCGACGAUCCCUAGCUGGUCUGAGAGGGUGACCAGCCACACUGGAACGAAGACACGGUCCAGACUCCUACGGGAGGCAGCAGUGGUGAAUAUGGCACAAUGGGCGCAAGCCUGAUGCAGCCAGGCCGCGUGUGUGAAGAAGGCCGUCGGGGUGUAAAGCACUUUCAGCGAGGAGGAAGGUGGUGAACUUAAUACGUUCAUCAAGUGACGUUACUCUCAGAAGAAGCACCGGCUAACUCCG
rnacentral:rRNA from 1 species